rnacentral:lncRNA from 1 species
GGACAUGUAAACACCUUUAUCGGCGUUCCAGCGGUUUGAUCUGCGCAUGUCCUAGCAUCAGACCAGCCCUCUAUAGGGUGGCCCUGAGGGCUGGAUACUCAGACAGCAACAACAGCCCUCGCAAUUCAUCCAAAUGCAACAGUCAGCAAUGGUUCUCAUAAAGGAAGGGCCUGUUUAGCCAGCACAUCUACUUCCUCAUUCCCUUCCACCACCACAUGGGCUGGGACCAAAUCACAACCUAUCUGGAUACCCAUCUGUCUCACCCGGGCAUGAAUUUGGAGGAUCUCAUAUAACAGGUUGGAGGCUACUGCUAAGAAAACUUCACAGAUAAUCUGCAUCUCCCGCAAAGAAUGAACCACGCAGGUGUGGUUUUCUGAUCACCUGACUGAUCCAUCAACAUGAUUGGUCAUCAUCGAAACAGGCUUUAGGUUUGGGGAUCCUGGUUGGGCCUGGGCGUCGGAAUGCUUCCAAGGGGAUCUGAGAAUAGAUGGAGAGAAAAAAGGGAUCAAUAUCCUUAAGAUAUAUAACUGUAGGUUGUUUAUCAAACUGACCACAAGAUGGUGCCAAAUAAUGUUUUUUGGCAUAGAGUAGCAAAUAUCUAGCAGUUUUUGACAAAACACAUUACAAAAUAAUUAAUUACAUGCUUAUUAAGACAUGUACAGGCUCAUGUAUGCGUGCAGUAUAACAAGU